rnacentral:rRNA from 1 species
CCUACGUGAGGCAGCAGUGGGGGAUAUUGCACAAUGGGGGGAACCCUGAUGCAGCGACGCCGCGUGGGUGAAGAAGCGCCUCGGCGCGUAAAGCCCUGUCAGCAGGGAAGAAAAUGACGGUACCUGAAGAAGAAGCCCCGGCUAACUACGUGACAGCAGCCGCGGUAAUACGUCGGGGGCAAGCGUUAUCCGGAUUUACUGGGGGUAAAGUGGGCGCAGACGGCGAUGCAAGCCAGGAGUGAAAGCCCGGGGCCCAACCCCGGGACUGCUCUGGGAACUGGGUGGCUGGAGUGCAGGAGGGGGAGGCGGAAUUCCUGGUGUAGCGGUGAAAUGCGUAGAUAUCAGGAGGAACACCGGUGGCGAAGGCGGCCUGCUGGACUGCAACUGACGUUGAGGCCCGAAAGCGUGGGGAGCAAACAGGAUUAGAUACCCUGGUAGUC